AUACGGAGGGGGUUAGCGUUGUUCGGAAUUACGGGGCGUAAAGCGUACGUAGGCGGAUUAGUAAGUUAGGGGUGAAAUCCCGAGGCUCAACCUCGGAACUGCCUCUAAAACUGCUAGUCUAGAGUUCGAGAGAGGUGAGUGGAAUUCCUAGUGUAGAGGUGAAAUUCGUAGAUAUUAGGAGGAACACCAGUGGCGAAGGCGGCUCACUGGCUCGAUACUGACGCUGAGGUACGAAAGUGUGGGGAGCAAACAGGAUUAGAAACCCCAGUAGUCC
rnacentral:rRNA from 1 species